UGAACGCUGGCGGCGUGCCUAAUACAUGCAAGUCGCGCGAACAGACGAGGAGCUUGCUCCUCUGACGUUAGCGGCGGACGGGUGAGUAACACGUGGAUAACCUACCUAUAAGACUGGGAUAACUUCGGGAAACCGGAGCUAAUACCGGAUAAUAUAUUGAACCGCAUGGUUCAAUAGUGAAAGACGGUUUUGCUGUCACUUAUAGAUGGAUCCGCGCCGCAUUAGCUAGUUGGUAAGGUAACGGCUUACCAAGGCAACGAUGCGUAGCCGACCUGAGAGGGUGAUCGGCCACACUGGAACUGAGACACGGUCCAGACUCCUACGGGAGGCAGCAGUAGGGAAUCUUCCGCAAUGGGCGAAAGCCUGACGGAGCAACGCCGCGUGAGUGAUGAAGGUCUUCGGAUCGUAAAACUCUGCUAUUAGGGAAGAACAAAUGUGUAAGUAACUAUGCACGUCUUGACGGUACCUAAUCAGAAAGCCACGGCUAACUACGUG
rnacentral:rRNA from 1 species